rnacentral:rRNA from 1 species
UACGUAGGUGGCAAGCGUUGUCCGGAUUUAUUGGGUUUAAAGGGUGCGUAGGCGGCCUAUUAAGUCAGUGCUGAAAUAUCCCGGCUUAACCGGGAGGGUGGCAUUGAUACUGAUGGGCUUGAGUAGAGUCGAGGUAGGCGGAAUUGACGGUGUAGCGGUGAAAUGCUUAGAUAUCAGGAGGAACACCGAUGGCGAAGGCAGGUCUCUGGGCUGACACUGACGCUCAUGCACGAAAGCGUGGGGAGCAAACAGG